GACGAACGCUGGCGGCGUGCUUAACACAUGCAAGUCGAACGGAAAGGCCCUGCUUUUGUGGGGUGCUCGAGUGGCGAACGGGUGAGUAACACGUGAGUAACCUGCCCUUGACUUUGGGAUAACUUCAGGAAACUGGGGCUAAUACCGGAUAGGAGCUCCUGCUGCAUGGUGGGGGUUGGAAAGUUUCGGCGGUUGGGGAUGGACUCGCGGCUUAUCAGCUUGUUGGUGGGGUAGUGGCUUACCAAGGCUUUGACGGGUAGCCGGCCUGGGAGGGUGACCGGCCACAUUGGGACUGAGAUACGGCCCAGACUCCUACGGGAGGCAGCAGUGGGGAAUAUUGCACAAUGGGCGGAAGCCUGAUGCGGCAACGCCGCGUGCGGGAUGACGGCCUUCGGGUUGUAAACCGCUUUCGCCUGUGACGAAGCGUGAGUGACGGUAAUGGGUAAAGAAGCACCGGCUAACUACGUG
rnacentral:rRNA from 1 species